rnacentral:rRNA from 1 species
GUGGGGAAUUUUGGACAAUGGGCGCAAGCCUGAUCCAGCAAUGCCGCGUGCAGGAAGAAGGCCUUCGGGUUGUAAACUGCUUUUGUACGGAACGAAAAGGCUCUGGCUAAUACCUGGAGCUCAUGACGGUACCGUAAGAAUAAGCACCGGCUAACUACGUGCCAGCAGCCGCGGUAAUACGUAGGGUGCGAGCGUUAAUCGGAAUUACUGGGCGUAAAGCGUGCGCAGGCGGUGCUGUAAGACAGGCGUGAAAUCCCCGGGCUCAACCUGGGAAUUGCGCUUGUGACUGCAGCGCUGGAGUGCGGCAGAGGGGGAUGGAAUUCCGCGUGUAGCAGUGAAAUGCGUAGAUAUGCGGAGGAACACCGAUGGCGAAGGCAAUCCCCUGGGCCUGCACUGACGCCCAUGCACGAAAGCGUGGGGAGCAAACAGGAUUAGAUACCCUUGUAGUCC